rnacentral:tRNA from 2 species
CAUUAAGAAGCUAUGAAUCAGCAUUAGCCUUUUAAGCUAAAGAAAGAGGGGAUCCCCUCCUUAAUGG